AGUUUAUGAUCAUUGUUUAAUAAUGAUCAAGGACUUGGAUGAGCUUGAGAAGCUCAGUAUGUCCAAGCACAAGAAAUUGCGAAUGAAUUUGAUCAUGUAGUUCCUUACUAGUUCAUAUAGAUAGUUUAUAAUACACUACCACAUAAAUUAAACCGAUUGCACCUUGGUUGAGUUGGUGACUAUAGGUGGGAUCUUAAAGAGUUCAAGGAGAAGGGUUCUUAUGUACUUAGAGAACCUAUAGAAAAGAACAAGGGACAUGCCUUUGAAAGGUAUGUUAGAUCUGCUCGAUAUUAGUGUUUGAGUAGAUGGUGACUGCCAUA
rnacentral:lncRNA from 1 species